UCCGGCUUCCCGGCAGGCCCCGCGCGGCUUCCGGCGCUCCGUGACUUGCGUGCCGCUGGCUUGCGUCCCCGGACCGCCGAGCCGCUCGUCCUUCGCCGAGAUGUUUAAAACCUUUAUUAAAACUGUUUGGAUCCCCUUGAAGCCCUACUAUACCGAAGUCUACCAGGAGAUUUGGGUAGGAGUGGGUGUGUUGGGCUUCGUCAUUUAUAAGGUCGGGACUAUUGGUAAAAAACGUAAAGCUUUGAAAGAAGCUUCGAGUCCUGCGCCUGACCAAGGCCACCAUUAAGCAGCCUUACAUGGAGUGCCCUUCAGAUGAGACGUCAGUCUGGCUGUAAAUUGAAGCAAACAGUUUUAGACGGGGGCGGGGAGCAUGGCUGUCUGCUCGUCCGAGCAGCAUUUACUGGUGGCAUGAAUAAACAUGUGAGAUGAA